rnacentral:rRNA from 1 species
AGGUUGGCUCAGAAGCAGCCAUCCUUUAAAGAGUGCGUAACAGCUCACUAGUCGAGUGACCCUGCGCCGAAAAUGUACCGGGGCUAAGCCUGAUACCGAAACUGCGGAUUGUAGGAAACUAUAGUGGUAGGGGAGCGUUGUAUACGAGCAGAAGCCGUACCGUGAGGAGCGGUGGAUUGUAUAGAAGUGAGAAUGCCGGUGUGAGUAGCGAGAUGUAGGUGAGAAUCCUACACACCGAAAGCCCAAGGAUUCCAGGGGAAGGUUCGUCCGCCCUGGGUAAGUCGGGACCUAACGCGAGGCCGAAAGGCGUAGUGGAUGGAAAGCAGGCGAAAGAUUCCUGCACCCGUAUAUGGAGCGAAGGAGUGACGGAGACGGAUAGUGUGACCCUCUUAAUGGAUUGAGGGCGAAGCGAAGCGGCUGGUUACCAGGCAAAUCCGGUAACCAUAAGGCUAGAGCGUGACAGGUAAGCGAAAUCUUCGGAAAGUAGCGAAGCACAUGAUGACGGCUUCCAGGAAAAGCUUCUGGCAAUGCAUAUGCGGCCCGUACCAAAACCGACACAGGUGGGCAGGGAGAGAAUCCCGAGGUGAGCGAGAGAACUGUUGCCAAGGAACUCGGCAAAAUGACUCCGUAAGUUAGCGAGAAGGAGUGCUUAAGCAAUUAAGCCGCAGUGAAGAGGCCCAAGCGACUGUUUAACUAAAACACAGCUCUCUGCGAAGUCGCAAGACGAAGUAUAGGGGGUGACACCUGCCCGGUGCUGGAAGGUUAAGAGGAUCUGUUAAGAGCGAUCUGAAGCAGUGAUCCGAAGCCCCAGUGAACGGCGGCCGUAACUAUAACGGUCCUAAGGUAGCGAAAUUCCUUGUCAGGUAAGUUCUGACCCGCACGAAAGGUGUAACGAUUUGGGCGCUGUCUCGGCAGCAGACUCGGUGAAAUCUUAGUACCUGUGAAAAUGCAGGUUACCCGCAACUAGACGGAAAGACCCCAUGGAGCUUUACUGCAGCCUGAUAUUGAAUUCUGGUCAUACAUGUACAGGAUAGGUGGGAGACAAAGAGACGUGCACGCCAGUGUACGAGGAGUCGACGUUGGGAUACCACUCUUGUGUGACCGGGGUUCUAACCUGGUAUCGAGAACAGGUACGGGGAGAGUGUCAGGUGGGCAGUUUGACUGGGGCGGUCGCCUCCCAAAGAGUAACGGAGGCGCCCAAAGGUACGCUCAGAUUGGAUGGAAACCAAUCGUCGAGUGCAAUUGCAGAAGCGUGCUUGACUGUGAGACAGACAAGUCGAACAGGGACGAAAGUCGGGAAUAGUGAUCCGGCGGUGCCGAAUGGAAGGGCCGUCGCUCAACGGAUAAAAGCUACCCUGGGGAUAACAGGCUGAUCUCGCCCAAGAGUUCACAUCGACGGCGAGGUUUGGCACCUCGAUGUCGGCUCAUCGCAUCCUGGAGCUGGAUUCGGUUCCAAGGGUUGGGCUGUCCGCCCAUUAAAGCGGUACGCGAGCUGGGUUCAGAACGUCGUGAGACAGUUCGGUCCCUAUCUGUUGUGGGCGAAGGAGAUCUGCGGAGAGCUGUCCUCAGUACGAGAGGACCGGGAUGGACCUACCGCUGGUGCACCGGUUGUUCCGCCAGGGGCAUAGCCGGGUAGCUAAGUAGGGAAAGGAUAAGCGCUGAAAGCAUCUAAGCACGAAGCCUACUCCAAGAUGAGAUCUCCCAUUCGCAAGAAGUAAGACCCCUUAAAGACGAUAAGGUAGAUAGGCCAGGGAUGGAAGUGCAGUGAUGUACGGAGUUGACUGGUACUAAUCGGUCGAGGACUUAAUCAG